AACGAACGCUGGCGGCGUGCCUUACACAUGCAAGUCGAGCGCGAAUGGGAGCAAUCCCUAGUAGAGCGGCGCACGGGUGCGUAACACGUGGGUAAUCUGCCUGGAAGACCGGGACAACCUGCCGAAAGGCUGGCUAAUACCGGAUAAGCUCACAGGGUCUUCGGACCUCGUGAGAAAAGGUGGCCUCUGUACACAAGCUAUCACUUCCAGAUGAGCCCGCGGCCCAUCAGCUAGUUGGCGGGGUAACGGCCCACCAAGGCUACGACGGGUAGCUGGUCUGAGAGGACGAUCAGCCACACUGGAACUGAGACACGGUGCAGACUCCUACGGGAGGCAGCAGUGGGGAAUUUUGCACAAUGGGCGAAAGCCUGAUGCAGCAACGCAGCGUGUGUGAUGAAGGUCUUCGGAUUGUAAAGCACUUUCGACCGGGACGAACACCCCUUGGCUAACAUCCAGGGGCCUGACGGUACCGGGAGAAGAAGCACCGGCUAACUCUGUGCCAGCCGCCGCAGUAACAC
rnacentral:rRNA from 1 species